rnacentral:tRNA from 1 species
AGUCUUAUAUUCAAUGAUGAUUUUGAAUUGCAAAUUCAAAGGUGAAAAUUUUUCUAAGGCUU